rnacentral:rRNA from 1 species
CAGCCGCCACGGUAAUACGUAGGUGGCAAGCGUUGUCCGGAAUUAUUGGGCGUAAAGGGCUCGCAGGCGGUUUCUUAAGUCUGAUGUGAAAGCCCCCGGCUCAACCGGGGAGGGUCAUUGGAAACUGGGAAACUUGAGUGCAGAAGAGGAGAGUGGAAUUCCACGUGUAGCGGUGAAAUGCGUAGAGAUGUGGAGGAACACCAGUGGCGAAGGCGACUCUCUGGUCUGUAACUGGCGCUGAGGAGCGAAAGCGUGGGGAGCGAACAGGAUUAGAUACCCGCGUAGUCCCUGUCUCUUAUAC